AGCGAACGCUGGCGGCAGGCCUAACACAUGCAAGUCGAACGAACCUUUCGGGGUUAGUGGCGGACGGGUGAGUAACACGUGGGAACGUGCCUUUAGGUUCGGAAUAACUCAGGGAAACUUGUGCUAAUACCGAAUGUGCCCUUCGGGGGAAAGAUUAAUCGCCUUUAGAGCGGCCCGCGUCUGAUUAGCUAGUUGGUUGAGGUAAUGGCUCACCAAGGCGACGAUCAGUAGCUGGUCUGAGAGGAUGAUCAGCCACAUUGGGACUGAGACACGGCCCAGACUCCUACGGGAGGCAGCAGUGGGGAAUCUUGCGCAAUGGGCGAAAGCCUGACGCAGCCAUGCCGCGUGAAUGAUGAAGGUCUUAGGAUUGUAAAAUUCUUUCACCGGGGACGAUAAUGACGGUACCCGGAGAAGAAGCCCCGGCUAACUUCGUG
rnacentral:rRNA from 1 species